rnacentral:rRNA from 1 species
AUUGAACGCUGGCGGCAUGCCUUACACAUGCAAGUCGAACGGCAGCACGGGUGCUUGCACCUGGUGGCGAGUGGCGAACGGGUGAGUAAUACAUCGGAACAUGUCCUGUAGUGGGGGAUAGCCCGGCGAAAGCCGGAUUAAUACCGCAUACGAUCUACGGAUGACAGCGGGGGACCUUCGGGCCUCGCGCUAUAGGGUUGGCCGAUGGCUGAUUAGCUAGUUGGUGGGGUAAAGGCCUACCAAGGCGGCGAUCAGUAGCUGGUCUGAGAGGAUGACCAGCAAGAUGGGGACUGAGAGACGGCGCAGACUGAUAAGGGAGGCAGCAGUGGGGAAUAUGGCAAAAUGGGCGGAAGCCUGAUGCAGAAAAGACGCGUGCGGGAUGACGGGGUGAGGGGUGUAAACCGCGUUAGCAUGUGACGAAGCGUGAGUGACGGUAAUGGGUAAAGAAGCACCGGCUAACUACGUG